rnacentral:rRNA from 1 species
GACGAACGCUGGCGGCGUGCUUAACACAUGCAAGUCGAACGGAAAGGCCCUGCUUUUGUGGGGUGCUCGAGUGGCGAACGGGUGAGUAACACGUGAGUAACCUGCCCUUGACUUUGGGAUAACUUCAGGAAACUGGGGCUAAUACCGGAUAGGAGCUCCUGCUGCAUGGUGGGGGUUGGAAAGUUUCGGCGGUUGGGGAUGGAUCCGCGCUGCAUUAGCUAGUUGGUAAGGUAACGGCUUACCAAGGCAACGAUGCAUAGCCGACCUGAGAGGGUGAUCGGCCACACUGGAACUGAGACACGGUCCAGACUCCUACGGGAGGCAGCAGUAGGGAAUCUUCCGCAAUGGGCGAAAGCCUGACGGAGCAACGCCGCGUGAGUGAUGAAGGUCUUCGGAUCGUAAAACUCUGUUAUUAGGGAAGAACAUAUGUGUAAGUAACUGUGCACAUCUUGACGGUACCUAAUCAGAAAGCCACGGCUAACUACGU